GACGAACGCUGGCGGCGCGCUUAACACAUGCAAGUCGAACGGAAAGGCCUGCUUUCCCUUGUGGAUUGGGGGUACUCGAGUGGGUAACGGGUGAGUAACACGUGAGUGAUCUGCCCCCAACUUGGGUAUAAGCCUGGGAAACUAGGUCUAAUUCCCGAUAGGACUGCAGGGUGGUGUCUGUGGUGUAAAACGAUUUUCUAGUGGUUGGGGAUGAGCUGGCGGACUAUCAGGUUGUUGGUGGGGUAAUGUCCUACCAAGGCGGGGUCGGGAAGCCGGCCAGGGGUAGGCGACGUGCACAGUGGGACUGGGAUACGGCCCAUACGACUACGGGCGGCAGCAGUCGGGAGUAUUGCAAGAGGGGCGUAACCCUGAGGCAGCGAGGCCGAGUGGGCGAUGACGGGCGUCGGAUUGUAGCCUCCUGUCGACCGCCAGGAAUCCACCUGGUUGGAAGGGUAGUGACGGUAGUGGUAGAAGAAGCACCGGCUAACUACGUG
rnacentral:rRNA from 1 species